rnacentral:lncRNA from 1 species
GAUUCACAGAGACACUGCAGCACUGUGUUGGCUACUUCACCUCUGAAUGAUGACCACUGAAGAACAUGAGAGAUGAAGUACAAUGGAGAAGUCCAGAUAAAUGGACUGGAAUUCCUGCUACCAUUAUAUAUUUUUUUCUUUUUUAUGGAUUUUGGUACACCCUCAUGGCUGUCAAAGGCCAUUGUCUUUGCUCCAGAGGUCCUACAGCCAUGGUGCAGCUUGGAUCCUAGAUGCUAUGCUUGGGGUUAGGCUACUGCUUCCUCCUGAAUUACACUGGCAGACUAAGGCUUCAUCUCUGAAGUAUGGAUCCAAAGAAUUAGAAGAACUCUCAACACAUCAAAAUUCUUUAAUUCUAAGACAUAAUUUUGGCUGUUUUAUUAAUCUUAAGUCGUUAUUGUGUGUAUUUCCCCGUAUCCAUUUUGCACAGCGUUAGCUCAGCUCCAAAGACAGAUUAGCUCUCUUUACGAAGUGCUCCCAAAAAGUAUGACUGAGAUUCCUUCUUAAUACUCUUCUCAACUCAGCUUAUGUAUAAUCCUUUUCAAAGUGUAAAAUGCCAAAGGAUGUUUAUAUGCUGGAGCUUAUAUGACAGUAUAUUGUUGUUCCUUCACACUUCACUGAACAGUCUACGAAUACUAAUCUAUAAAAUGCUCUUCUCAUACGCACUUUAAAACUCUGUGCUGUUUGUG